rnacentral:lncRNA from 1 species
UCACUGCAGCCUUGAACUUCUAGGCUCAAGCAAUCCUCCCUCCUCGGCCAUCCAAAGUGCCGGGAUUACAGUCCUGAGCACCAUGCCUGGCCUUACUGUUGAGUUUUAGGAGUAAUUUGCAGAGGGCAGAAGACCAAGAGAUCCGAGUCAUCACAGAAAACAAACAGCCUUCCAGGAUAUCUUCAAACUCUUCAGCUCCAGCCCAACAGGCACCGUGGACAUGCACAGCAUGAAAGUUGCCCUGGGCAAUGUGGGUAUCCAGCUGAGUCCACAGGAGACGUUCGAGGCUCUGCGGCAGGCAGACUUGGAUGGUGAUGGAAUCGUAAGCUUCAUUGACUUCCUGGGUGUCUUCGAUGACAACCACCGCUUGGCUCAGUGCAUGGGCACCCGCCCCAGGUGCGCGCAGCCCGUACUCUCAGAUUCCUAACCUGGAGGGGUUGGCGCUCCCGGAACGCAGGACACGAAGCCCAGCCCCGGGCCCCGGCUUCCGCCUGAUCCAGCCCUACUAGCCCGGCCGCCCCAAGAUCCCGCCCAGCCCGGGGCGUGUCUCGGCCUAGGGAUACUGGGCCAGCCACGAAAGCCUCCGCCCCCUCGAAGCGGGCUCCCUCGCCGCCAACUCUAGUGAAGAAGCAGCCCUUCUCCCCGGCGCCCGCUGGUUUGCAGAGGCCUGCUAUGAAGAGCUUGUGCAAGUAAAGCGUUUGCUGAGCGGAAACAGGCUGCGGGUGGCUGCGGCAGGCAUGGAGCCGACGCGGAUCUUUUGCAAACAUCUUUAUUAAUCUCAUAUAAAAAUAAGGUCCAUGGACGGUCCUCGGGGCUGGGGCUUGCGGGGGCGAGGUGCACUUUAUAAGUUACAGGCCAGGCUCCUGCUGAGGCUAAGUAUGGCUAUUUGGAGGGGGCUUUAGGGUGGGUGCUGCAAGCAGCAUUUGGGGGAAGGGGCGGGCGAUGCUGCCCUCUGUGGCCAAGAGGAGGAUGCACCAGCCCGUUUGAGGCGGGCCACAGCGGAGGAGGGGCUGCCCGGCCAGCCGAGCUGAGGACCACCUUCCUUGAGCCUCAGCCUGUCCACGGCCCCACACCCCUGCAGAAUCCACCUGCAGAAAUAGCGGCUACAGCGAGAGGUCGGAGGUGACCUGCAGUGGGGGGCCCGGGGGACGCCGACGGGCACUGCGGCGGCCUGUGUCUGCGCGGAUGUAGGGCUGGUUCCGCAGAUCUGGCAGCCGAAGGAGACACAUUUACCAUUCAGGAGUCCGCCCAGAGCUGGGAGCAUGGCUCCAGGGCACAAAGCUUAGCCUCCUAAGGACUCAGAUUGUGUGCACAUGGCAGGGGUACCGUUUAUGUUUGCCAGACCCCUCCACCCCACAAAUCACAUCCCAGCCAUCCACUGGCCCAGGAGAAGGCAGCAUGCCUCAGUUCUCCCAAGGGUCCCAGGGGCUGUGGGCAGCGUGGUAUCAGAGGCCAGGUCAUCUGGGUACCUGAGGGGCUAGAGGGGCAUCUCUUCUCCCAGGCUGGCCUCACAGAGGAGCCGGGAUGUCCGCUUGCCGGUGCGGGCCGUGAAGGGCACCGUCUUGAUCACUGAGUGGGGGUGGGGCAGGUGAAGGGGAGUAGAGAAAGGAAAAAGGAAAGAAAAACAGAAAAGGUAGCAAGAAGCAGUGUGGCAGCCAGUCCCCCAGAGGAUAGCGCAUUGGGUCAGAAGAAAGCAUAGAAGGACAGACUGAGGAUAAGACCAAGGCCUGGCCAAGCCCUUACCUGUGAUGAUGUCUUCAAUGGCCCCAUCACGGUCGCUCUCAUAAAUGAGUGGCUCCUUCUGCUGCCUCCGUUUCAGCUCAGAGAUGAGGUCCAUCUGUGGCCGCCGGGCCUUUGGCGGUGACUAGGGGGAAUUUAUAGCUCCAGCUCCAGGAUGCCUCCCCAUCACCAAAACCCUGGAAUAUCUGCCUGGUCCCCCACAGCAAGGACAGCUGGCUUGAGCAGAAAGAACCCUUUCCCAUCCCAGGCUCCUGGGGCAGGGUCAGUCUGUAACAGUGAGGGUGUGGGGGUGGCACCAGAGGGUGAUGAGAUGCCAUGCAUCCCUGCAGCCCAGUACCAAGCCCAGGAGCAGUUGCCUACCUUGGGUGCUGGGGGCUCCCCUUUGCCCGGGGUAUCAGCGCCUGCCUCCUGGGCAGCGGCUUCUUUUUUCCACUGUUCCACCUCCUGCUCAGCUUUCUGUGGGCCAAGGCAGUCUCCAUGAGGGUGGCCCUCCCUACUGCCCUACCCACCCCCUAAACAGAAGCAGCCCCACCCCUCCGCUGCCCAGUAGAAAGGCUUCAGUGCCCUACAGGGCUCCCAGCCUGCCCCAGACCCGAAUACCUUGUAGGCCUUAAUGAAGCGGCUAAAGAGGGAGAAGAACAGGCCUGGGGAUGUGGUCUUGGGGUUCUCUCCGAAGUACUCCACCACAGACUCAAAGGCCUCCUGUGGGCACAGCCUGUCAGCCCCCCAGCUUAGACCUCUCACAGCCUGUACCCCUCAGGACACUGGCCACCUGAUCUGAGCUCCUCCCAGGCAGGGUGGCCCCUCAUUCCUGCUGCAUCCCCCCAAGGGGUCCCAGCUACGGCCACACCCCUCCAGGCUGUGCUAUCUAGUGCUCCUACAUGCCCCACCUCCAGGUGAGGCCAGCCCUGGCGCACCUGAGCCGUCUUGCUGUCUGCCAGCAGCUUGUCCAUGGUGGGCGAGUUGGCCCUCAGGAACUCCUUGAGCACCAUGCAGUCAUCCUGCCGCACAAACUCUCUCUGUGUCAACUCUAGGCCUCGCUGCAGGGAGCGCACGUCCGCCAGGACACUGUCCAGGGACACUGGGCCAGGGAUGGGGCAGUAUCAGGUCAGUGAAUCGGAGAGGCAGCCCUCCCACCAAUUAUAUACUGUGGCCCCCUAGCUUUCUCCCAACCUACCCCAGCCCACGGCCCCUCCCCACACCCAAGGAUCUGUGUGUCUCCUACCUGAGCCCGCCUUGUCCAGGAAGUGCAGGUCGCUGUGGAAGCCUGUGAGUUGCGGGUACUUCUCAGCAAUGACCUUCACCAGGUAGUGCAGCAGCGUCUGCUUGCGAUCAGUCGACUUCAUCUCCAACAGCUGCACAAGGACCCAUUGUAAGCCACAGGCCACCAGCCAGUCCCCAGCCCCAGUCCCCAAGCCAGGGGCCCCUCCUCACCGCAUCCAGGCUCUGGAGCCGGAAGCCAUAGGCUGCCCCACGCUUGCUACUGUUCAUGUAGUUGCCAAAGGCCAGGACAAUCUGGGAGAGGCAGGAGAAAGGCUCAGCAGAAUGCCAGAGCUGAGGACACCGCUUAAGCAUAUUGCACAAGGAGGAGAAGAGGUGGCAAGGAGCAGGCCCCACACACUCAGCCCCUACUGUACUCCUGCACAGGCCCCUCAGAUCCACAGCACAUGUACAUGUGUGUACACACAGGUCUCACACAUGUGCACGGUUAACACCAUGGGCACACCAAAUUUUGUCCUCUGCUAGUCCAACCCACAACUUGUUGCCAGCAUCCCCUCCUAGUCUGUGUGGUCACUGCCUGUCCACCAGCCAUUUCUACUGGUUCCCGGGC